rnacentral:lncRNA from 1 species
CGUGAUGAUGUAAUCUCAAUAGAGAAUGAAAUUCAUGAGGAAUUACAACAGAAAAGAAAGGGGCAGUCAAAUUAACAAGCUCUAGCUUUUCUCUCAAGUGUUGUGGCUAAGAGCAAAGUAUCGUCUUCUCUCACGUGUUGCAGCAGUUGUCCUCAUCUUCAUCUUCCCACGUGUUACAGUCGAUAGGAUCUUCAUCUUCUCACAUAU